rnacentral:rRNA from 1 species
GGGAUUUUGCGCAUGNGGGNAANCCCUGNCGCAGCAACGCCGCGUGGAGGAUGAAGGCCUUCGGGUCGUAAACUCCUGUCGACCGGGACGAAAGCGGCUCGACCUAACACGUCGAGCUGUCGACUGUACCGGUGGAGGAAGCUCCGGCUAACUCUGUGCCAGCAGCCGCGGUAAUACAGAGGGAGCGAGCGUUGUUCGGAAUUACUGGGCGUAAAGGGCGCGUAGGCGGCCUAACAAGUCUCGUGUGAAAUCCCUCGGCUUAACUGAGGAACUGCACGGGAAACAGCNUUGGCUUGAGUUCGGGAGAGGGAAGCGGAAUUCCGGGUGUAGCNGGUGAAAUGCGCAGAUAUCCGGAGGAACACCAGUGGCGAAGGCGGCUUCCUGGACCGACACUGACGCUGAGGCGCGAAAGCUAGGGGAGCAAACGGGAUUAGAUACCCCGGUAGUCCUAGCUGUAAACGAUGAGUGCUGGGUGUAGGGGGGUGUUAACCCCCCCUGUGCCGAAGCUAACGCAUUAAGCACUCCGCCUGGGGAGUACGGUCGCAAGGCUGAAACUCAAAGAAAUUGACGGAA